GCAAGUCGUACGAGAACGCCUCUUCGGAGGUUAUUAAAGUGGCGCACGGGUGCGUAACACGUAGCUAACGUGCCCUCUCGCUGGGGACAACUCCGGGAAACCGGAGCUAAUACCGAAUGGUCUGAUAUUAUCUGCGGAUAGUAUCAGUAAAGCCGUAAGGCGCGAGGGGAGCGGGCUGCGGCCCAUUAGCUUGUUGGUGGGGUAAUGGCCUACCAAGGCAACGAUGGGUAGCUGGUCUGAGAGGAUGAUC
rnacentral:rRNA from 1 species